CCUACGGGAGGCAGCAGUGAGGAAUAUUGGUCAAUGGACGUAAGUCUGAACCAGCCAAGUAGCGUGCAGGAUUGACGGCCCUAUGGGUUGUAAACUGCUUUUGUUGGGGAGUAAAGUGGGGCACGCGUGCCUUUUUGCAUUUACCCUUCGAAUAAGGACCGGCUAAUUCCGUGCCAGCAGCCGCGGUAAUACGGAAGGUCCAGGCGUUAUCCGGAUUUAUUGGGUUUAAAGGGAGUGUAGGCGGUCUGUUAAGCGUGUUGUGAAAUUUAGGUGCUCAACAUUUAACUUGCAGCGCGAACUGGCGGACUUGAGUGCACGCAACGUAUGCGGAAUUCAUGGUGUAGCGGUGAAAUGCUUAGAUAUCAUGACGAACUCCGAUUGCGAAGGCAGCGUACGGGAGUGUUACUGACGCUUAAGCUCGAAG
rnacentral:rRNA from 1 species